rfam:Schistosoma curassoni strain Dakar, Senegal genome assembly, scaffold: SCTD_scaffold0002876
GCACUGCUGAGGAGUCCCACAACAGGACGAAACGGCCGUCCAGUGC